UUGGAGGGCAAGUCUGGUGCCAGCAGCCGCGGUAAUUCCAGCUCCAAUAGCGUAUAUUAAAGUUGUUGCAGUUAAAAAGCUCGUAGUUGAAUUUCGGGGUCAGUAGGCUGGUCGUGCCACAGGUAUGUACUGGUCUUACUGAUUCCUCCUUCCUGAUGAACCGUAAUGCCAUUAAUUUGGUGUUGCGGGGAAUCUGGACUGUUACUUUGAAAAAAUUAGAGUGUUUAAAGCAGGCUAACGCUUGAAUACAUUAGCAUGGAAUAAUGAAAUAGGACGAUCGAUCCUAUUUUGUUGGUUUCUAGAAUUGACGUAAUGAUUAAUAGGGAUAGUUGGGGGCAUUAGUAUUCAAUUGUCAGAGGUGAAAUUCUUGGAUUUAUUGAAGACUAACUACUGCGAAAGCAUUUGCCAAGGAUGUUUUCAUUAAUCAAGAACGAAAGUUAGGGGAUCGAAGACGAUCAGAUACCGUCGUAGUCUUAACCAUAAACUAUGCCGACUAGGGAUCGGAUGAUGUUAAUUUUUUAAUGACUCAUUCGGCGCCUUACGGGAAA
rnacentral:rRNA from 1 species